GGGCUCUUGGCACAGUUGGUAGCGCGCACGCUUCGCAAUGUCAUUGCGUGAGGUCGUGGGUUCAAUUCCCACAGUGUCCA